rnacentral:rRNA from 1 species
GAUGAACGCUGGCGGCGUGCCUAAUACAUGCAAGUCGAACGCUGGAGCUCUAGCUUGCUAGAUCGAAGGAGUGGCGAACGGGUGAGUAAUACAUAAGCAACCUACCCACGAAGACUGGGAUAAUCCCUGGAAACGGGGACAAUAACGGGUAAGGUAAUCGGAAGCCUUCUGCUGGUUAUUAAGGGUCAAAAACACUGGUGGAUGGGGUUAUGGCGCAUUAGUUAGUUGGUGAGGUAACGGCCCACCAAGACGACGAUGCGUAGCCGGCCUGAGAGGGUGAACGGCGACAUGGGGACUGAGACACGGCCCAGACACCUACGGGAGGCAGCAGUAGGGAAGUCUCGGCAAGGGGGGCAACCCUGACCGAGCAACGCCGCGUGAGUGAAGACGGCCUUCGGGUUGUAAAGCUCUGUUGUAAGGGAAGAACGGUAGAUAGAGAAUAUCUAAGUGACGGUACCUGACCAGAAAGCCACGGCUAACUACGUG